GUGUAUAGAGGAUACCAGGAGAACACAAUUCUCUGAGUUAACUAAGCAAAGCUGAUAGGAAGUCAGAGACUGAAGCCGCAAGCACAGGGCCUAUCAAAUUCUGCAUCAAGUAUCCUCUGGGGGAAAACCAUCAAAUGAAAACAUUAAGAGACUGAAAACAAAUGGUAUACUUCAAGAUUUGGAGAAUUAAUGUUGAGAUCAGAAUUGCAAAACCAGGCCAAGAGACACUUUCAGAAAAGAUAUUACCACAGAUCACAACUUAAGGUAAUCAAAUCAGGGAACAAGAAACUGACUCAUGUUACAGGUAUUAUACAUCAUCUCUAAGAGUUUUUACUUGUAUUCUUAACAAUAUAUUCUACAAUAAAUUUGAUAACUGUUUAA